UAUUAGUAAUUAGUAUUUUAUCUUAAUACUCCCUCUAGAUAUUUUUAGUUGUCCUAUUUUUUUUAUUUGAGCAGUUUACCUCAAUUGUCUCAUUUUCACUUUAAGACAUACUUCCUUUGUUUCAUAAUACUUGCUAACAUUUUUCCACACAACAUAUCAGACUCAGUAGCAAGUAUUAUGGAAUGAAGGAAAUAUAUUUAUUGGUGAUCUCUUUAUUUUAUUAAUAUUAAAAGCACUCAAUAUUGCUUAUGAGUCUACUAUUUAGGUGGUUUCCUCUAAUUCUAAAUAUUAAAAAAUACUUGAUAUUACACAUGAGUCUAUUAUCUUAGGUGAUUCACUCAUAUUCUUAAUAUUUGUGUCCAAACUAAAUAAGACAAAUAAAUUGAAUCGAAGUGAGUAAUAUUUUAUCAAUUAUUUUUUUUGUCCUAAUAAAAUUGUAGAGUAUAGAGAGAAAAUAAGAAAAGAUAAAAUAUAAAGUAUGAAUGACAAAAGAGUAGUGAGAAAAUUUUUUUUCCUUAUGAAUGACAAAAAAUCUGACGUGGAUAAGACAGAUUGGUGAGGAUUUUUUUUUCAUGAACAUUGAGAGUCACAAUCUUUAAAGAAAACAACACAAUUAGUCAUUUAAUCAUUCCUACUCAUUCUACACAAUACAGCCAAGACCCUAGCUUUCUCUCUCUAAAUCUUCCAUGGAAAGACCUUACUCUCUCACUAGACCUCCUCAAUUUUCCAAACCUAAACCUCCACCAUUUUCAUCCUCAUCAUCUUCUUCCUUCCACAACAAUGGCGGAUUAUUUUCCACCUCUUCAUACGACGACGUUUUUGGUGGUCCUCCAAAAUUCGCUUCGGCUUCUUGUUUAGCUCCUCGAGAUGAAGAUUACUCUGAAAUUUUUGGAGGUUUCAGGUUGUCUUCUUCCUUUUCGUCCACCUCGUAUGCUUCUUCCUCCAUUCCUGUCCUUGAUCUUCCUGCUGUUCCCGACGAUCUUCAUACUGCUGCUGCAUUCUUUGAUUACUCUGAUGUUUUCGGAGGUUUCAAUGCUGUUGAUUUCGCUGUUUCUUUUGAUGAACUCUUUCGUCCUUGUGAUGACUCCUUUUGCGACGAUGAUGGCGAUGGCGAUGACUUCUCUGAUGAAGCUUGGACCCCAGCUGGCUCAGAGUCUCAUUCUGAUGAUUCAGAUCCAUUUGCCUAUUCCGAAAAGUGUGAAAGCUUGUUUAAUGAAAAUGCUCAUCAACCAACAGAAAGCAAACAAUUUAAUGUUUCUUACCAUAAAGUCAAUCCAGGAACCAGCACAUAUUUGCCAAACACUAUGCAUGUAGCUGAACUUAACGACGUGCCAGGAUAUACUUGUGUAGUUGAUGAAGACAUGACUAGUGACAUAUGCGCUCCUGCUGUUGAUGACAUUGUUCUUACCAUGGGUUCACCAUCUCACAUCACCCAGAAUCAUAUUAGAAAAACUAGGUCUCAUGCUUCAUGUCUUGAUUUUGGUUUAAGUACAUAUGAUCAUGAUUUGAGAUCUGGAAAAGCAUGUAGUGCUAGUACAUCUAGUAUGAAUUCUACUUUUGCAUCUGUGUCUGACAUCAACCUCAGAACAGAACCAUCUCAUUUGCCGCCUCCAUCAAGACCUCCACUUAUAGUGGAAGACAGGAGCGAAGAUUUUAGUGAACAAAAUUCUGGUCCUAUAGCUUCUGAAAGAAAUGGAUUGGAAGCAAUUGUUGAUGGUGGCUUACCAUCAUUCUUUGACAUGGAGGUGGAUGCAAAUUCUUCUGCUGCAGUUUCUGCCGCUGCUAUGAAGGAUGCGAUGGUGGAGGCUCAAGUAAAACUUAGAGCUGCAAAAGAGUUGAGGGAUGAAAAGGAUAGAGUUCAGAGCAGUGUCAAGCUGCACUUAGAGACUGGCGUAAAUGAUGGGGAUAAAUUUCAAGGGCUAUGUUAUGAAAGCCUUUCUGGAAUGACUGGGGUGCACACAACCAAUGAUAGAGGUCCUGCUAAGAUUAAAGUUUAUUCUAAAGUUAUCCAUUCAAAAACUACCUCUCAGAAUUUACUAGAUAUUUUGGGUUCUGAACAGUGUACGGGUGUAUCUGGAAAACCUGCUGCGGCAAAGCAAGGGAAGAAAAGUUUUUUGUCCAAGGAUACUGCGGUUACUGAUGAAGCUGGUCAAUGGAAAGAAGCUAGGCAAUGUUAUGAAUUUGUAAGUGGUGAUAACACUCGGUUAUAUCCUCAUCUACAUAAGAGUAAUGGUGAUGCAAAGACAGAAAUUACGCAGCAGGGUGAUGAUGAUCACAACUCGGAUUCUGCUGAAGAGACUUUUGUAAUAGGGGGAAAUAGGAGAAGGUUGAAAGCAACAAAAGUAGUAUCUAGACAAGAAUACUAUGAGAAAAUGGUCAAGGUGGCCCAAGAAGUUCAUGACAAUAUUACUUGUGGGCUUGUGGAACCCGGCAAGAGAAAAAAGUACAUGUCUCAGGAAAAUAUAAAGCAGCAAAAAGCUGAGCCAGUCUAUGAACCAGAGAACCUUCAAAUUCCACUUUGCAAAGCUCGAGAAAUAGAGGAAACCCUCGGUUUUGGUGUCAGAGAAAAGGAAACUUGGAAGAAGUCGAAUAGUUUACUUGAUAAAGAUGAUAGUAUGAAGAAAAGUGGCUACAGAAAUGUAGAAGGCCGUCAUCAGAGGUGGCUUAAUGAGGCGUCUACCUUCAAGCAAGCAGAACUGGGGAGAUCAGGUGAAAGUAAAAGAUAUGAGGAUGACCAUCAUGCUCAAGAAACUGCAAGGAGAGAAUUGCAUGAGAAGAGAGCGGAAGACUCUUUUGAAAGACAAAGGACUGAGGGCAGAGUUGCUGGGUCUCCUAAGCACAAAAGGAACAUGGAGACGAGGGGGAUGGUGGACAAGAAUUCGAAGAAAUCUUCUAAAGGUGUGUUGACUGGAGACAGAGUGCAAUCAGCUUGUGAAAGUGAAGAAAAGGACAACAAGAAUGAUCUACAGAGAAUGGAAGUAGCUGAUACGAGGUUAAAGGAAUCUUCUGAGAAUGUUUCGGGCAGAAAUAGACUGCAAGCAUGUGAAAACCAAGAUGAUAACGAGUCGAGAAAUAUGCUGCAUAGAGAGGAAUUUGAAAAUCAUCAUGAGGAAGCAGUUCAAAUGAAAGGAUCUAAGAAAACGCUCAAAAAGGGUGCUGAGCUGGAUAAGGGCCAGAAAAUUAAAGAAUUUGGAAAGCAAUCAAUAGAGGUGGGGAGGCUCUAUGAAUCUUGCAAUCUGACAGCUCAAAACAACAAGUCAGAAGAGGGUCAGAGACAAAGUGAUAAUGAGGAGAAGCUUGUGAAGAGUUCUGAACUGGAGCAUGUGGAGCAUGUGGAGCAUGAGUCAUUGCAAGAAUGUAAGCUGGAAAAGGUCUAUUGCAAUUAUGAUCAAGCAAUUGAUGAGCAAGGAUUGAAGACUAUGCUAGAAAAGUGUGAUAAGCUGCAGAAAUCCGAGAAAACUAAUGAAGUUCCAAAGCAACCAAUAGAGUUGUCGAGACUUGCUGAGGCUAGUAAUCUGAUCAUUAAGAACAAGAACACAGAAGAGGUUCAAAAAGAAAAUAAAGAGAGGCUUGAGAAGGCUACUGAACCAGAGCACAAGUCUUUGCAUAAAUGUGAGCUUGAAAAACCUAGGAAAAUCAAUGGAAACACCGAGAGUAAAGAAGAUUGGAAGGAUGCAGACAGACGUCACAUAAACAUCGAGUGGGAUGAGGACCUGUGGCCUAAUAGCUCCCCAGAUAUUGAAAUUCCUAUACAGGACAAUAAUUUGAAUUCAUCAAAUGGGACUAAUGCCCAUGAGGAUGCUUCACUCGAUGUGUCCCCUAAACUCAAAAAGCCACUGAUGAAGACUGCAGACUCCAAGGAAGCGUCUCAGAAAGAAAACAAUGAGAUUCAUAUGUUGAUGUCAGACAGAACAAGCACGUCAGAAGCAGCUAAAACAUCAGAUUUGGUCAUUUAUGAAAAGAAAAUAGAACCUGAAGCAGUUUGUCUGGGUCCUGAAGGCAGUGAACUAGAGGGAAGAACCUUUAAUGUCUCAAACACACUUGGCUUGCAUAAAAAUAACAUUGAGACAGGUGGUACCAGUACUGGAUACAAUCACACUGUGAAAGAUGAGAUACAGAAAGUUUCUCAAUCAACCUCUGUGCCUAGUUUGGCGAAGGAUCUCAGGAAUGAAGUUGAAGGAAAGAGGAAUGUGGUUGGAGAGGGUCAAGCUCUUUAUGACAAGGAAGAAAAGAUUCGAUCUAAUCAUGCAGAAGGAAUCAGUGGAUCCUUUGAGCAUGCAGGUAAAGAAGAAGUAACUUGUAAUGUACUGCUUGAAGGAAAUAGAGGUCCCCAGAAAGUCUCUCACCCGCCCAGUUGUGACCAAAGUACUCAGAGAAAAGGCAAGCUUAACAAUAGUUUCUCAUUAGAAGAGAAAGAUGUCGAUAUUGUGAUAGAUAUGGAGAAGGAACGUCUUAGGAAGCUUGAGGAAGAAAGGGAGAGACUGAGAGAAAGGGAAAAGGAUAGAAUGGCAGUUGAACUGGCAGUACGUGAAGCCCGCGAUAGGUCUUAUGUUGAUGCUCAAGACAGGGUAGAGAGGGCUGCUCUUGAAAGAGCAACAAACGAAGCUCGACAGAGAGAAAUGGCACAGGCCCGGGAGAGAUUAGAGAAGGCCUGUGCAGAGGCUAGGGAGAAGUCCUUAGCUGAUAAGACAUCAGAGGCCAGGUUAAGAGCAGAGCGUGCUGCAGUAGAACGUGCAACUGCUGAGGCUCGUCAACGUGCCAUGGAGAAAGCAAAGGCGGAGAGGACUACUUUGGUUACACGAGACUGUAUGCAAAGAUGUGUUUCUGAAAAAUAUUUUUCUGAAAGAGAAACCAUCAUGAGACAGAGCUCUUUCCCCACGAUCAGUGAGAGGUUUGAAGCAUCGAAUGAUGAACCAGCCCAGAGGUGUCAGGCCAGAUUAGAGAGACACCGCCGAACAGUAGAACGUGUGGCAAAAGCGCUUGCAGAGAAAAAUAUGCGUGAUAUUUUUGUACAAAGGGAGCAAGAAGAGAGAACUAGAUUAGCUGAAAUUCUUGAUGUUGAUAUCAGAAGAUGGUCAAGUGGCAAAGAAGGCAACUUGCGAGCUUUGUUAUCAACAUUGCAAUAUAUCCUUGGGCCUGAUAGCGGCUGGCAGCCUAUUCCAUUGACAGAAGUCAUAACCGCUGCUGCAGUCAAAAAAGCUUACAGGAAAGCCACUCUCUGUGUGCAUCCUGACAAAUUGCAACAACGUGGUGCAAGUAUCCAACAGAAGUAUAUUUGUGAAAAGGUUUUCGAUCUUCUAAAGGAAGCUUGGAACAGAUUUAAUUCAGAGGAGAAGUAGUUUGGUCAGUUAAAGCCCAGGCAAUGGAUUUGCAUUUCAUAGUUAGCAAUGGAAAAAGAACUGUAUAUUUGUCUUCUUCUAGUGGUGAUGUGCUUGGAAUGUAGAAGCUUCUCUGUGCUGUUUUACAGAAGGAAAAGAUCCUCAUGUUUAAGGUGCUUCUGCUACUAAUUUUUGCCAGAAUUGAAAUUGGUUCACUCAAAAAGUUUCAGGUGAUCUAUGGGUCACACUGAAGGAAAUCCAGAGGUCCGAGUGUAGAGGAGUUUUUGUGCAUCUACAAAAGGAAACAAAUUAAGUGUAAACCAAGAAAAGGGGUAGUGGACGUAAAGACAUAAUUAAAAGAAUUUAAUAAAAAUUAAUUGUGCGUCUCCG